UGGGGAAUAUUGCGCAAUGGGCGAAAGCCUGACGCAGCAACGCCGUGUGGGUGAUGACGGUCUUCGGAUUGUAAAGCCCUGUUGGGGGGAACGAGCAAGGACGGUACCCCUCGAGGAAGCACCGGCUAACUCCGUGCCAGCAGCCGCGGUAAUACGGAGGGUGCAAACGUUGUUCGGAAUCAUUGGGCGUAAAGCGCACGCAGGCGGUCGUGAAGGUCGGAUGUGAAAUCCCGGGGCUCAACCUCGGAAUUGCGUUCGAAACCGUGCGACUGGAGUCUCGGAGGGAGAAGGGGAAUUCCUGGUGUAGGGGUGAAAUCCGUAGAUAUCAGGAGGAACACCGGCGGCGAAAGCGCCUUCUUGGCCGUAGACUGACGCUGAGGUGCGAAAGCGUGGGGAGCAA
rnacentral:rRNA from 1 species